rnacentral:lncRNA from 1 species
CGAGCACACACAACUUAAAGAUCGGAUGUGAUUGUGGUGAAUGUGGUGACACCUAGCUUAGCAGAACGUGGCCUAAUAGAUGGAGGCGGUGUCAGAACAUGCUGUGACCGUCAGAGUUCUGCAGACACGUGUGAGUUAAAGGUGAGGCUAAGGCAUGUCUUGCAUAUGUUCAGUGUCUUAACAGACUGUGGUUUGACAGUGAGGUGGAGUAAAAGCAUGAAAAAGAGAGGUCAGUGAGGAGAGGCAGCUCAGGUCACGCAGCAUUACCCAGCUAGCGCAGUGCCCAGACUUGAGGACAGCGACGGCACGGAGGUCAGAGACCCCUGUGAAAGCCGAGGCAGGAAGAGUGACAAGCAGGAAGAGUCUG